CUAUAGCCCACCAAUAGACCAUCUAUAGCCCACCAAUAGACCAUCUAUAGCCCACCAAUAGUCCAUCUAAAAAAUAGAUAAGUAAACAAUAAAAAAAUAUAAAUAAUUACAGGGCAGCAGUAAAAUAACAUUGGCGAGGCUUUAUAUAGGGGGUACCGGUACAGAGUCAAAGUGGAGACUAUAUACAGGGUGUUACGGUACAGAGUCAAUGUGGAGGCUAUAUACAGGGUGUUACAGUACAGAGUCAAUGUGGAGGCUAUAUACAGGGGUACUGGUACAGAGUCAAUGUGGAGGCUAUAUACAGGGGGUACCAGUACAGAGUCAAUGUGGAGGCUAUAUACAGGGGGUACCGGUACAGAGUCAAUGUGGAGGCUAUAUACAGGGUGUUACGGUACAGAGUCAAUGUGGAGGCUAUAUACAGGGUGUUACGGUACAGAGUCAAUGUGGAGGCUAUAUCCAGGGUGUUACGGUACAGAGUCAAUGUGGAGGAUAUAUACAGGGGUACUGGUACAGAGUCAAUGUGGAGACUAUAUACAGGGGUUACUGGUACAGAGUCAAUGUGGAGGCUAUAUACAGGGGGUACCGGUACAGAGUCAAUGUGGAGGCUAUAUACAGGGGGUACCGGUACAGAGUCAAUGUGGAUGCUAUAUACAGGGUGUUACGGUACAGAGUCAAUGUGGAGGCUAUAUACAGGGUGUUACGGUACAGAGUCAAUGUGGAGGCUAUAUACAGGGUGUAACGGUACAGAGUCAAGACCCCCAUAAGCCCCACGGGACUCGGCAGAAGUCGAGCAUCAGCAUUUGUGGGUUCGAUUACAGGCUCAAAAUGGCCAGAAACAAAUAACUUUCUUCUGAAAC
ensembl:lncRNA